UGGCGAAAGGGGCGGUAAGGCAUGGGUAACCUACCUCGGGGACGAGGAUAGCCUUCCUAACGGAAGGGUAAUACUUGGCGAUCUGGCGGCGGGGCAUCCCGUUACCAGGAAAUGAAUUUCGCCUCGGGAGGGGCUCAUGUAGUAUUAGCUGGUUGGUGGGGUAACGGCCUACCAAGGCGAAGAUGCUUAGCGGGUGUGAGAGCACGACCCGCGCCACUGGCACUGAGACACUGGCCAG
rnacentral:rRNA from 1 species